rnacentral:rRNA from 1 species
AGUGAACGCUGGCGGUAGGCCUAACACAUGCAAGUCGAACGGCAGCACAGAGGAGCUUGCUCCUUAGGUGGCGAGUGGCGGACGGGUGAGGAAUACAUCGGAAUCUACUCUGUCGUGGGGGAUAACGUAGGGAAACUUACGCUAAUACCGCAGACGACCUACGGGUGAAAGCAGGGGAUCUUCGGACCUUGCGCGAUUGAAUGAGCCGAUGUCGGAUUAGCUGGUUGGCGGGGUAAAGGCCCACCAAGGCGACGAUCCGUAGCUGGUCUGAGAGGAUGAUCAGCCACACUGGAACUGAGACACGGUCCAGACUCCUACGGGAGGCAGCAGUGGGGAAUAUUGGACAAUGGGCGCGAGCCUGAUCCAGCCAUACCGCGUGGGUGAAGAAGGCCUUCGGGUUGUAAAGCCCUUUUGUUGGGAAAGAAAUCCAUCUGGUUAAUACCCGGUUGGGAUGACGGUACCCAAAGAAUAAGCACCGGCUAACUUCGUGCCAGCCGCCGCCGUAA